rnacentral:tRNA from 1 species
AGACUCGUGACACAAUGGUAGCGCUUCUGACUCCAGAUCAGAAGGUUGCAUGUUCGACUCACGUCGGGUUCA